AUUUUAAACUGUGCAUAACUUGAAUUUCUAAUUUUAAUAAAUUUUAAUAAAAUUCAUCAGAUCUGAUAGAUCUUAUUUUCACAGCACGUGACAUAUGUGCACAAUUAUGAUACUGCCAAUACGCUGAAAAGAUAAAAAAUUUUCGAUCCAUGAUAGUAAACGUGAUUACGCUAAUUGCAGGUCGCGAAGCUUUUAUGACGCAUUUACAAUCGAUACAUUCAGUAUGAAAGUUGAAACGACAGAGCAACGAAGCCAUUGUUUUCUCAUAAUGUAUAGCGACUGCAAUCGACACCCGAUGCAUCACUGUAUAAAAGAUUAAAGUUUCAGCGGGAAACGUCACGUAUUGCAUUAUUUUGACUUUACGAUGAUUUAUAAUCUACGAUGUCAUGUCAUAUAAUCGUGCCUUCCAAAGAAUCCAAAGAGAGUAUUUUUGUUUUUUGAAACGUGUUAUUUUUAAUCGACAAUUGUUAUAAAUAAAUUUCUUAAAAAAAAAAAAAAAUAAACAACUUUAUUUCAGGAAAUUUCGUUACUCAAUGAUACGAGGCAACAACUUCGAAGAAUUCCGUUUAAUUGUUCAAUGAGCAUACUUGACGAGAAACAUCGAUGCGCACAAAUGAGGGGAAAUUCCGGACAAAGGAGGAUAUAUAGAACGCGUAUCGGAAACGAGAUACUCGAAGGAAACACCUAGCUCAUCGGGAUAAUAAGGAAUAUGCUGGACACGCAACCCAUACAUCUAUAUACCCGCCUAUCCAUGUGCAUAUGCAGAGAGAUAUAUACAUACGAAACGAACGAGGAAUAGGAGUGGCCGUAUACUGCAUCGGACAGCUUGCAACUGCGUAUAUUAUUCAUCGGUAAUAAUCAUUCUCCAAAAAUGUAACCAACCAUAAACAGCUUUUUAUACUAUCGUACAAAACGAUCUCGACCGAAAAUCGUCGUUAUUCUUGCCAUUGAAUUCGUGUCGAAUAUUCUAUUCGUUUAUUAUUUGACAAUUUUAAAGAGUGCACGAACAUUUCGAACGGAUAACGAAGGGAAAGAAAAUAUUCUAAGUUGUCGAAGAAAAGUUCGUUUGGUAAAAAAAGGUGGA